GUGUGAUAAUUUGGCAACAGCUGGAGGUUUGGGGCUCUGCCUCUGCUCAACACGUUUGCGGUCCAUGGCUCUUCCUUCUCAACUCUCCUCUCUCUCCCCUCCGUCCACUUCUGCUCCUCCUACUCCUUCUCCACUGCAAAUUCACCGCCGAAGGCGAAUUGCUCUCAGAUUCCGAGCUUCUCAUACUUCUUCUUUGGGCUCUUCGUCGAAUCCAGCGGGGCCCAAAGUCGUGGUCACCAGAGAACGCGGCAAGAACGGCAAGCUCAUCAGAGCUCUGGCUAAACAUGGAAUUAACUGUCUGGAGCUUCCCCUCAUUCAGCAUACACAGGGGCCUGAUAUGGGUAGGCUUUCAUCCGUAUUAAGUGCAGAUACACCAUUUGAUUGGAUUGUCAUAACUUCCCCUGAGGCUGGGUCGGUCUUUCUGGAGGCAUGGAAGGCGGCUGGGACCCCAAAUGUUAAUGUAGGUGUUGUGGGAGCUGGUACGGCGAGUGUUUUUGACGACAUAUUGCAGUUCUCCAAUCGAUCACUCAAUGUUGCCUUUGCACCCUCAAAAGCGACAGGUAAGGUUCUGGCUUCUGAGCUUCCAAAGAAUGGGGUAAAAUGCAGAGUCUUAUAUCCUGCUUCUGCAAAGGCUAGCAAUGAGAUUGAGGAAGGCUUGUCUAAUCGUGGAUUUGAGGUCACAAGGCUAAAUACAUAUACAACGGUACAAGUCCAGCAUGUUGACCAAAUGCUUUUACAGGAGGCACUUUCUACUCCUGUUGUUGCAGUUGCUUCACCUUCUUCGGUUCGUGCCUGGGUCAAACUUAUUAACGAUUCAAAGUCAUGGAACAACUCAAUUGCCUGUAUUGGUGAGACAACUGCUUUGUCUGCAAAAAGAUUAGGCCUACAAAAUGUGUUCUACCCAGCGCAACCAGGCCUUGAAGGGUGGGUUGAUAGCAUCCUUGAAGCUUUGGGAUCACAUGAUCAGCUCUAGAAGGUCAUGUUACCAAGUUUUUACCAAGGGCUUGGCAAAUUGAUGAGGAGGUAACAAGUUCAGAUUGGCAGCUAAUGUGUAAACAAGGUGCGAAAGGAAGAUGAAGUUCUUAGAAGCAGCAUGGCAGAAAGGGUUCAUGGAAUUUCUUGACUGGUGGCGUUGGGAGGAUUUGAAAUUUGGAGUUUCUAAAAUUAGAUAUUUCUCAGUAAGAUGAACUAUUUAGGCCAGACAUGGAGUGCUGAUAAAUAUCCAGUUCUCCGACCUCUUGGUUUCCUCGACUUUGAUUGUGAUCGCACCUGCUGGCAAAAGAGUUCAAAGCAUGUGUCUAGAAAAACUCAUAUAUGCCCAAUAUACCUGUAUUAUCUGAAUUCAAGCAUUCCCGAUCUGCAAUCCACUGAAGCUUUGCAGAGAAGCCUUGGUGAGUCUUCUAGUAUAUGCAUCCGAGUCACAUUGGCAUAUGUCAUAAACCCAAGGAAACUUCACAAGAAACACAAUGCAAUGCCUUUGUUCGUAUUCUUUGCGAAUGACCGGCAUAGAUAGCUUUCUCUGUUUACAAGUAUUAAGAGCCCCGAGGCUUGUGUUUGUCGCUGGCUUUGCCAUAGUCGGAGAAACUGGUUGAAAAGAAAACUAUGAUCAUGGGUAGAGAAGAAUUUGCUUACCGUUGAUCCAGGCAUAAUCAUUUCGGAACUGUGUUUUCUCAUCACUCGACUCUUGAAAGUCCCAGAUAUUUCCAUGGCUCCAUGUCCAAGAGAAGAGCAUCCUGGCCUGCACAUAUUAAUCUUUCUCGUACUAUUUUAAGCCAGAAAAUGGCAGCAAUGAUGGUGGCAAUCGUGCCAUCCUCGGUGGGCUCUCUCUCUCUCUCUCUCUCUCUCUCUCUCAUUGCAAGUGGAUAUAACUUUUAAAAGGAGCAAUAUGUUGGGGCAAGUGAUAUUUGAACUUGUUAAUGAAGAAAGGAGACACCAAAGUCUGUUAGUAACAACGCAUUGAAAAGUAUAUGAGCAUGCCUUGUUUUGGA